GUAUACCUAUGAGAAUUGAAGAUCGUGGGGAAAAUGUGGUUAUGGCAGUCUCAAGGAUAAUUACUAUGGACAAAAUAACCAGCUAAAUAUUUUCUUUCUUACUGUGGCUUGAUCUUUAACUCACUGAUGCCUUGCUUAAAUAAAUCAGAGUCACCACCUUUCUUAGAGCUAGAUUGGUAGCUCUUGGGCCUUGCAGAGGACCAAUCCUUUUUCUACAAGACUUAUUCUCUGCCUAGACAAAGCCUGGGACAGUAACUGGAAAGUUCUGGCAGAGGCAGACAGAUUGGAACGCAAAGAGUUUCUACAAGUCUACUCUGAGGACAGGUUACAGGUAGACAUCCUUUCUGUCCUCCUCCAUACUGGCUUCCUAACCACACCUAAAAGAACAAUUCAGAUUGAGAACUACUUAUCAACCCAGUCUGUCUGCAAUCCACACCUGAACCUUGUAUCAUUUGCUGGGAGGAACUAUUCUCUUUUCACAGAGGAGAUCACCCACAUCCAAGGUUUCUCAGGAUACUCUGAACCAGAAACCACACAAACAUAGUAUCUUGACACUUUACUAUUCAAAGUUCUGUCCAUUCAACAGUAAGUCCAGGACACAAUGAAGGAAGUGUAAAACCUUCUUUGGGUCCAAUCCUUGCCCUUCCUAGUUGGCAAAAGAAAGUGAAGGAUAAAUACAAUUUCUUCCAAGAAAAAUAUGGUCAAUGCACCAUUUGAAAAAUUAACUCGUUCCGUCUCCUUAAAGCAUGCCAUAAUCCUAUGAAUUCUGAAGAAACCUUCACUAGAUGCAAUGGACCUUGACAUCUACUGCCUGGUGUCAAAUCUCCCUUGAACUUCUACGUAGCAUUGCAUAUGGUGGAUCAUACACUGCUGCUCUUCUACCUAAGAGAUGUGGCAGGUGUCAAUGGAAAUGUUCUAAAACUAUUUGAAUCCUUCCUCAAAGGCUGUACACAGGAUAGUGAUGGGCAAAUACGCCUUUAUCACUAGGCUUCUUGCCUGUAGAAUACCUCAAGAUUUAAUUCUCUCUCCUGUCCUACUCAGCAUCUAUAUAUAGCCAUUGGGGGAAAAGAUACUUACGAAGCCAUGGCUAACAAGAAGCACAUUUUUAGUAAAAGAGAGAAAGAAUGGACAUCAUAAAUUAAAUGGCUGAGUUGUCAGGAAAAAGACAGAACCCAUUUUUUGAAGACGGGUCUCACUGUUUUUGAUGGUCUUGCUACUUGAUACCUGGCAAUGAUAUGUCAGUGAACCUGGAAAACUUGCUCAAGAUGUAAUAGACUGAUUAUGACCAAUACCUGCCUAGUUAUAUUGGGUUAUUUGCAACCCAAGCCAUUCCAUCUUGUAAGAAAUCAAUAAUCACUGGUAUGCCUGAGUCUCCUGGUUCUGUCUGCCAUUCCUCACACCAGAAGCAAAACUUUGACCAGGUUCCUGAAUAUUCUUCGACAGUAGAUUUCUACCUUAAAGUCAGAAGUCUCUCUAGAGAAGAUCAUCUGGCUUCGGUUUUCCUAUUCUGUAGUCACAGAGUCAGCUGCAGAUGAUCUGAAUUAGAAUGUAUAAGAGGGCUGUCAUAAACAAUCUGUGGACUUCUAAAGAGCCUCUGUUCAGCCCAUCUGCCUCUUGAUUCAGGGUUCCUUUGGCACUGACUGAAAGAAGUUGAACCUCUGCCAAGGACAAGGUUUGGGCUUCUGGUCCCACCAUUAUUGGACAAACCAGGAUUGUGGUGGUGCCCAACAGUACUAUGAGGUAGCAUCUGAUAAUCUGAGUUUAGAAUUUGAGAAGAGCUAAUCUGACCACUUGAAGCUCCAGCGUGUUGGUUUUCUCCUUCCUUAGGCCCUGUGCUGUCAGAUUGUUCAGGCAUGCUCCCCACCGCUAAAGGUUCUUGUUGGCAAUGAGCUCUGAGGGUUCCAGAAGCGUAUGAGAUGACCCAUGCUUUGUGUUUAAAUCCACAAGUAUUGUGAACACAUGGAAGGCCUCUGGAUUUUUUGUCAACGAUAUCUAAAAUUGCAGAGGUUAGCAGGAUAUUAUCACCACAGAACUUAGUGCCAUCAAGGCAAAAAUUACAUGAACAGAAAGUAAGGCUAUGAUUUAGAGCUACACACCAGGAAAUUCAGAGCUUGGGCUCCUGCAACACCUAGAAGUGCUGCUUGGCACAUAUGCAUUAUGGGCCUGAUCCAAAUCCCACUGAAGUGAACUGAAAGACUCCCUUAGAUAGCAAAUGAGGUCUGUAGUGUGUAGCACUGGAUAAGGGAAUAUACUCUGGAUGACAAAAUUGUAUGGUUUAUUAUGAAUUAAGGGUCAUACAUAUUUAAAUGUCAUUAGUAGCC